AAGGCCGUAGCUACAGAGUGUAAGACAACCAUCUUCAACAUCUCAGCUUCCAGCAUUGUCAGCAAGUGGAGGGGAGACUCUGAGAAACUGGUCAGGGUAGGCUGUCAGCUAUAGGAAGAAUUUUACAAAAACAUGUUUGUAUACUAUACUUUGUGUUUUGUGUUUCAUUUUUUUUAGGUCUGAUUACACUGGUCAACACUGAAAUUGUUACUGACCUAAAAAGGUUCUAAUCUGUAGUGUCUUGGUGUGCUGAACACAAAUAUGAGCAUGAAAAUUUUGUAUUUGCUCUCGUUUGGAAGAUAUUUCAUAUAGGUUUUUUUCUAUGUUUCACUGUGUACAUUUAUCCAGCAGGACUGUAACAACAUCCUAAAUAAGCAUAGAACGAUGUAAUAUUGCAUCACAUUGGAUAAUACCAUCAUGUACCCAUCAUCCAGAGUUUAUUCUAUUAUUUCCUGAAGCAAUGCAGUACUACUGCCAGGCAGCUGCUGAAGUAAGCUGACAUCAGCAGUGUACUAUACAAAGCCUAGUUGGAAAAUUUGAGAAAUAUUUCAGACUUCAUGGGAUACAGUUUAAGCUACUGUUACAUAAAACUGUCAUUAUUCUAUCCAUUUAGUUACAAUAAAGAACACUAAUGCCUUAAAAGUGUGUUAAUGCUGUGGACAGUUUUUGCUAUAUUUGUGGGGAAAUGACAUUUGCCAACCAGAAGAAAGUAUCACUUCUCAAGUGAAGAAGGCAUAUCGUCUUUACUUCGGAUGCAAGAUUGGCGAUCAAGACAAGCCUUGGGCCCCGCAUAUAUGCUAUGCUACAUGUACAACACAGCUUUCAUAGUGGUUACAUGGCAUACAUUCCGUGAUGUAAACAAUAAAUAUUGCAGAUUACAAAUAAACUAGAACCAAUUUUGCAUUUUGACUGUCAUAUUCGUUUUGAGUAAAUAAAAACUGAUAAGAAAUGACUCAUUUUAUUUCUGUAACAUGACUUUUGUACAAAUAUGUUGACCGUGUAUGUAGUGUAAGUUAUUUAAUACAUGUGUCUGCACGUUCUAUUUGAGCUGGCCGGGUACCACGCUCCAUCCACCAUCUUCCUGGAUGAGCUUGAGUCAGUGAUGGGCCAGAGAGCAGCAUGGGGUGACCUUAACCACUAAGUGCAGUAAAAUGUAGAUAUGCCACUGCUGCUGUCCACAAAAACUCUGUUCACUGCUUUCAGAGGCGAGCACGAGGGGAGUCGCAGGAUGAAGAUCAAGUUACUGGUUCAGUUGGAUGAGUCUUACCUCUUCACCAGCUCGCCAAGCCAUGACGUCUCACUGGCUGCCUCUUCUUAGCUGCACAGGAGGCGUUGAGCUAUGCACUGUACUGGAGAGUUGGAGGGCUACUCUGGCUCAGAUAUAAGAUGGCAUGUAAGGAAGCUGCCAUGAGACCAGUUGGAAAAAUCUUUGAUGCUCUGGAGUCACAUCAGGAUGACGACACAGCCCGCCAUCCAACUGGAAACUGUAACAACGACUGAUUUCCUGAAUGUGAUUGAACACACCAAACACUCAGCACGAAACCUGAUAGACAGAUACACAGCCUGGAAGAGAGAGUACCAAUCUGUCUGACACUAGAACAGCACAAUUUAAAAUUUAAAAAUGCUGGUUGAAUCAUUUGUUUUCUUUUUUUAUUAUCUGAAAAAAAAUAUACAACC